rnacentral:rRNA from 1 species
ACGGGUGAGUAACACGUAUCCAACCUGCCGUCUACUCUUGGCCAGCCUUCUGAAAGGAAGAUUAAUCCAGGAUGGCAUCAUGAGUUCACAUGUCCGCAUGAUUAAAGGUAUUUUCCGGUAGACGAUGGGGAUGCGUUCCAUUAGAUAGUAGGCGGGGUAACGGCCCACUAGUCAACGAUGGAUAGGGGUUCUGAGAGGAAGGUCCCCCACAUUGGAACUGAGACACGGUCCAA